GAUGAAGAACGUAGCGAAAUGCGAUACUUGGAGUGAAUUGCAGAAUCCCGUGAACCAUCGAGUCUUUGAACGCAAGUUGCGCCCGAAGCCACUAGGCCGAGGGCACGCCUGCCUGGGCGUCACACGUCGUUGCCCCCCCCCCAUCUACUCCUUCGGGAUUGCGGGGGGCGGAUGAUGGCCUCCCGUGCGCCUAGCCGCGCGGUUGGCAUAAAUACCAAGUCCUCGGCGACGCACGCCACGACAAUCGGUGGUUGCGAAACCUCGGUUGCCCGUCGUGUGCGUUCGUCGCGCAUCGAGGGCUCGAAAAAAUGCUCGGCUCCGGCUCGGCUUUCAACGCGACCCCAGGUCAGGCGGGGUUACCCGCUGAAUUUAAGCAUAUCAAUAAGCGGAGGA
rnacentral:misc_RNA from 1 species